CAUUCCACCUUUUUCUACAAUGAAUCCACUAGGCAGAAAUUCCUGUACACAUCUUAUGAGCAAAGAAUUUGAACCUCAAAGAGUGGCUCAAAGAGGUCAGGAGGCACCUUCAACACUUUUAUUGGAGAUCUCGUCUAGAUCAUCAGAUUCUCACUCUGUCACCUAGGCUGCAGUGCAGCGGUGCGAUCUCAACUCACUGCCACCUCUCUCUACCUCCUGGGUUCAAGCAAUUCUCCUGCCUCAGCCUCCCAAGUAGCUGGGAUUACAGGUGAGCACCACCACGCCUGGCUAAUUUUUGUAUUUUUAGUAGAAACAGGGUUUCUCCAUGUUGGCUAGGCUGGUCUCAAACUCCUUACCUCAGGUGAUCCACCUUGCCUCAGCCUCCCAAAGUGCUGGGGUUACAGGCAUGAGCCCUGCCUGGCCUAAGAUAUUUAUUUUAACUUGUAUUUAUGGUUAGAAAAAAUAUACAUUUAUAGUGAUGUAAAUUAUCUGAUUCAUUAAA
rnacentral:sRNA from 1 species